rnacentral:rRNA from 1 species
AUUGAACGCUGGCGGCAGGCUUAACACAUGCAAGUCGAGCGGAGCGAGGGUGCUUGCACCUUAGCUUAGCGGCGGACGGGUGAGUAAUGCUUAGGAAUCUGCCUAUUAGUGGGGGACAACAUUCCGAAAGGGAUGCUAAUACCGCAUACGCCCUACGGGGGAAAGCAGGGGAUCUUCGGACCGUGCGCCAAUAGAUGAGACGAAGUCGGAUUAGCUAGUUGGUGGGGUAAAGGCCUACCAAGGCGACGAUCUGUAGCGGGUCUGAGAGGAUGAUCCGCCACACUGGGACUGGGACACGGCCCAGACUCCUACGGGAGGCAGCAGUGGGGAAUAUUGGACAAUGGGCGGAAGCCUGAUCCAGCCAUGCCGCGUGUGUGAAGAAGGCCUUUUGGUUGUAAAGCACUUUAAGCGAGGAGGAGGCUCUUAAGGUUAAUACCCUUGAUGAGUGGACGUUACUCGCAGAAUAAGCACCGGCUAACUCUGUGCCAGCAGCCGCGGUAACAC